UUGUUCCUCCAGGAUUCUCUGAGCCUGACGGGCUCACCGUCGCUCUCACCCAGGUCAUCUGGUCCCGCCUUCUCUGGGCCCUGGCUGGCAUUCUUCUCGCCGAGAGCUUUCUCUCCCUGUUGUGUCCCCUGGUUUGUCUUGUUCUGUGUCACGGGUGUCUGGGUAUUGGGCCCGAAGCUGCUCUGCCCUGCUGCACAGCCUGGUGUAGGUAUCAUAGGACAAGUCCUGGGGCCUGGGGAGUUGUAAUGCAGGGUGUUUUAAGGGCUGUCUUAAUAAUAGUGUUUUGGGGUGUUUUUUAGGGUAUUCUUGUUCCUAUUUUUGGAUUACUUAGAAGUUUUUAAAGGAAUUUCAGGUGUAUUGGUGGUAUAUGGACAAGUUUUUUCAGGCUAGAGACUUUUUAGGGAUUUUGAGGGUAUUUUUUAGACUUUCUUUUAGCUUCCAAUCAGGGCGUUUUAAAUGUUUUUUUUUAUAUUCUUGGAACUCUUUUAGGACUCUUUAGGGAUUUUUUAAAGUUUUUUCGGAUAUUUUUAAGCCAUUUUCGUGCUUUUUAUAAAGUAGUGUAUUUUUAGUGUUUUCUGUGGCUUUUUAAUGUUUUUGGGGAUGUUUAGGACACUUUGGAGACAAGGGUGUAUUUUUAGGGAAUUGAUGGGGUUUUUUAGGCUCGUUUUGGGGCGUGACAGAGGUUUAGGGGCACUGUGUUGGCUUGAGGAUGGCAGAGGCUGGGAGCUGAGGGAGGAGCAGGGAGAAGAAGGGACAGUGGGUGACACACAGAGAUGCUGAGGGUGGCCGGGGCAGCGGAAGGGUGACAUAGAGAAGCUGGGGACUGAAAGUCUAAGGAGAGGAGUUAAGGGUGACGCCCAGGAGCUGAGAGGGGGCUUGAGGGUGACAGGGCCUGAGGACUAGGAGGCUGAAGGAGGGACUGAGGGGUAAAGGGAUAGGGCUUGAGGGCUGCGCAGUCCAGUGCAGAUCCGCGCUGCAGGGUACAUCUUAGGAGGCAAGACAGUGUACAGCUGCACCACCCCUCAGCCCAGCCCUAAUCCCAGUCUAACCAGCCCCCCUAAUAACAGCCCUUUCCCCCAACGGCAGUGCAACACAGGAACCCUAACAGCGAGACCAGAGCGGAACCCUCCCGGUGGGACAUGGCAGCAACUCUCAUACCAGGACAAUGACAGAACCUGAGAUGACAACAAGAUCCACUGCAUAAAGUUAGGGAAGACAUCUCAGGGUUGGAGAGCAAGAGGAGGGGCUUGUUGGAGGCUGAGCAGGUUUUUUUCAGGCAUUUUCCAAAACCUCAAAGGAUAUAGAGGGGAUGCUUGAACCUUUCUUAGGACGUUUAGGGCUUAGCCUUAGCCCAAAGCAGUGUUUACUGCCCAGGGUUAGGGUCACAGCUAGGGUUAGGGCUUUAAAACGACAAAGCCCAGAGAUCCAGGCACACGGCAGCUGCGGAAGGCAUCCCAAGGGGAACUCAAAGCUCAUACCAUGCUUUCCACCACAGCCUUUUCCUCGGAACCUGCCUAAGGCUAAAUGGCUGGCUGGCUGGCUGCUAAAAUUCUGCAUUGUGCAGGAUAUCUCUCAGAUCCAAGCUGGCACCAGUGCCAAAUUGGGCUGGUUUGACAGUGCCGAGUGGCUCCUGCAAUCUGCCAUCAGGAACCUGGGCUGGUUAGAUUUGUUUCCCAGGGAAAAGGCCUGUAGAGUUGUUCAGGGGCCUGUGGCCUGGAACGUCUGGCUGCCUGCUGGAAUUCAACUUUGCUCAGGAUGCCUGCCAGAUCCAUGGUGCCACCAGUGCCACCUGGGGCUGGUUUGACAGUUCCAGCUGGCUCCUGCAGUCUGCCAUCAGGAGCCUGGGUGGGUGAGGUUUGUUUGCCAGGGAAAAGGGCGGGCGUUGCUGUUCGGGGGUCUGUGGCCCAGAGCGGGUUCAUGGCUCCUGAAAUUCGGCAUUGCGCAGGAUCCUGCCCGGCACCAAGCUGGCCCCAGUGCCAACUUGGGGGGGUUUGAUAGGGCCAAGCGCCUCCUGCAAACUGACACCAGGAAGCUAGGCCGGUGAGUUUUGUUUCCUGGGGAAAUGUACUGGACAGAUGUUCUGAAGUCAGUUAAGAAUAAUUUUUUUGUUGUAAAAUUAAGUUUAUUUUGUUUUGGGGAUUUUUUUUUCUGUUCAUUUUAUUUGUUGUUUUUUUGUUUGAUGCAUUUGGCUGUUUAUUUGUUUUAUUCUUUGGUACAUGGGUAUUUGUAUGGUGGAUCAUUUUAGGUAGUUUUUUAUUAGGGUAGAUAUAUUUUUAUUUUUUAGCUGUUGAGAUUUCUUUUAUAUCGUUAAUAAUUCGGUUUUUUAAGUUGUUUUUACAGAGUAUUGGUUAUUCUUUGAAUUCUUUGAGUUAGUGUAGAGGUAGAGUUUUGGUUAUUUUUUUUUUUAGUAGCGUUCAGGGUCAUUGGUAAGCUUUGAAGUUUAGUAAGUUGGUAAAUUUUUUUUUUUUUAGUAGUUUUUGUGGUUUGCUGUGUGUGUUUCUCUAGGGUUUUCUUUUCUUUUCAUUCUAUUUUUGUGAUGUGAUGAGAAUUGUUAUUGACAAGAGCAUACUGUGGUGUUUUUUGCUGGCAGCUGGUUGGCUGGUGGAGGUAUCCUGAUGUGUUUUGAAUUUGUGGUGGGAAUUUGAUGCUGUUUGUUUUGUCAUUUUAUUUAGGAAUUGGAAAUUAAAUGUAAAAUUAUAACUAUAUUUCAACAAAACAGAUGUAUAGAAAUGAGAAUAAGCAACUUAAAUUUUAAAUAUCUGUCUUCCAGGUUCAUUCCCAUUGUGAUCUGCAAAUGGCAAAUCAGGGUUGCUCUUUGUUAAAACCAAAAGCGCUCUCAGAAUGUUGAUGGAGGUGAUGAUUGCAGGGGCGAUGCUUCUGGAGAAUAGCUCCCCCAUCUUCCCCAGGGCCCGGGCAGAGAGAGGUGGAGCUCGGCCACAGGGCAAUACAAGCACUUCCCAAGAGCAGCUGGUGAAGAUGGCGCAGAAGCAAUGACAAGAGUGCGGUGAACAGUUUUGUCCAUCGAUCCAGCUUCUGGACAUGCUCCGUGUGAUCUGCCCAAGAACGUGUGCACCAGGCUGUUACCGCUCUCUGCAGGGUGAAACACCUUCAGCCAAGGAGUCUUCAAAAUCCUUUCCUCCUCCUAAAGGCUCUGCGGCUCUUCAUUCUGUAGAAGAGCCUCUAUUAACCUUCACUAGCAGAAUGAAGCAUCUUCAGUUUCAAAACUCCCACACGCAGACCCCAAGCAUCUACUGUGGCCUGGAGGCCCUCUGGCAUUGGAGAGGAAAGAAUCUGCACCUGCGCCGUCCACGCUCUCACUCGAUGGGGAAAUUGUCAUGAUAUUAUUGAGGCGUGUCCUCGAUGUGUCUCUUAUUGCCUUGCCACUCGUGAAGCCCGAGGCUGUCUUGUCCUAGUUUGCCUUUCUGAUGUGGACGAGCUGAACUGCCAAGCGAUGAGGAAUUUGGUGCUCUCUGUGGAGGGCCAUCCUGUAAAAUUUCUGUUGUUAUGACUCUGCGCCAUAAAGAAUGACAUGGCCUGAUUGUCAGCAAUUUUUAUUUCUGCAAUAGUGUAAAAAUAUUUGAGUUUUAAGACUAUUUAUUAUUUCAAAAAGAGAAAAUAUUUUAAAGUUUUAAGUGAUAGCUAAAAUUACACCUGAAAGCUAGAAAGAGCAAAUACAUAGAAUACUUCUCCCUCUUUGUAGAAUUGCAUUCAAAAAUAUGUUUUCAUUCAAAAAUAAGCUGAUGGGGAUGUGCUUUUAUGUCUUUAGUGACCUUUACAAAUUUACUCCUCAGGUUUUUUGAGUUCAUAGAAUCAUGGAAUAAUUCAGGCAGGAAGGGACUCCAAAGAUCACCUGAUUCCAAGCUUGCUGCCGUGGGCAGGGACAUCUUUCCCUAGAGCAGCUUGCUCGGAGCCUCAUCCCAGAGCACCAAUGGGCCUUGAACACUUCCAGGCGUGGGGCAGCCGCAGCAUCUCUGAGCAACCUCUGCCAGCCAGGUGCUAGAGGAGGCAGAAAGCCCUUCCCACCCGGAACAGAGGCCGCUGCAGCUUCGUGCAGCCUCGUGUCACCGAGCGUGCGAGACAGAAGGGCCCUUCCCGUGGAGGGAUAGCAGCACCCAAAGAUCUUUUUCGGGAAAAGCAGAGCGAUGGAACACCAAAGUAGCCUUCAGUUCUUCAGCAGGUUUGGGAACAACUUGAAGGAGGAGCAGAGCUGGCCUGGUGCCUGCCAGCUCUGCAGGCAGUGGGGAUGGAGAAGCUGCAGUUGUCUGUCUUCUCGGCCGAGUCUUUAAAAAUGAGGCGCUUUUCUGUAGCUCCUUUUCAAGCAUUACAUGAAAGUUCCCCCUAGAAGUCCAAAGGCAGCUGUUUUCUUAGCAGAAGGAAGUCUGGAAGAGGCAAAGCAGGCAAAGACAUCAGAGGAGUCUGGAUAAAAACCUUGGCUAACCUCUUUUUCCUCCCUCUUCCAAACAGCCAAUUUUGAAGCGCUCACCAGAGAUCUGCCAGAGAUCUGGGAGGAAAAGCAGAGCCAAGCACUGAGAACUGACGUGUGAGCCCUGGUGAGGACUGCCGCUCCCUCUGCCUUGGUGUGGGACCUCCUGAGCUCCCAUUCCUGUGCUGGGAGUGUUUCUCCUCUCAUCCAGCCAAGCCAGAGACCUCCUAGGGAACAAGCAGGACAGCACGAAGACUGAACGUGUAAGAAGAUGUGGGGUGCAAUGGAGAACCUGGCAGGAGCAUCCGACGCACACGUGCACGAGUUUUGCUUUUUGCUUGGAUUGAAACUCAAAAGUUGUAAGGAAUUUGGGAAUGAGAUGGGACGUUUCAGAAGAAGAGGAAGGAGGAGAAGAAGUUGUUGUUACAGUGUUACAGUCCUGGCAAAAUCCUUUGUUCUAGCUAAUAAAAGAAGUUAGUUUAAAAAAAAAAAAAAAAA